rnacentral:rRNA from 1 species
UACGGGGGGAGCAAGCGUUGUUCGGAUUUACUGGGCGUAAAGGGCGCGUAGGCGGCAAAUUAAGUCAGCUGUGAAAUCUCCGAGCUUAACUCGGAACGGUCAGCUGAUACUGAUCUGCUAGAGUGCGGAAGGGGCAAUCGGAAUUCUUGGUGUAGCGGUGAAAUGCGUAGAUAUCAAGAGGAACACCUGAGGUGAAGACGGGUUGCUGGGCCGACACUGACGCUGAGUGCGCGAAAGCCAGGGGAGCAAACGGG